GCCACAUCUAUCUGGACCUGGACACAAUCAAAUCUAGUUUGAUCUGGGAAGGUAAACAGAGUCAAGCUUGAUUGAUACUUGGAUGGGAGACUAGCAAGGAAUACCAGGUGUUGUGAGCU
rnacentral:rRNA from 11 species